CCUAAACUUAAACUAAUCGAAAAAAUUAUUUAUCCUUUACAUUUUUCUGUUUUGUUUAAAGGAAUAGAUCGAGGAUGGCUUCCAAAAGCAUCGAUGAGCGGUUAUUUGACGGUAGCCAAUUACCUUUGAAGAAGACAAAGCUGGAAGUAGAGGGUGAAGGCGGUGCUAAAGUUGUUGCUGCCGGUGAUGAAGCAGAAAACAGAGGCUUAUACAUUUGCAGCAAUUGCGACAAUUGUGGUCUGCAAUUUGACGACUCAGAAGAAACGGGGGCUUAUGAGAAUUUUGAGCAUUUAUAAGAAGUUAUAUGGGGCGAAUGAUGGAAGAACUGCCAUGGCAUUAUGUACUUUAGCCAAACUGAACUGUUCAACAGAUUCUGAAUGAGGAUUUGUGUCUGCCUGUCUGCUGCUUGGUUGAUUCUGAUCCAUAUCGGUUUGGUUUUGUUCCACAGAUAGCUUCUUAAUUGAUUAAUGCACGAUUUUGGUUUCAUUGAAAUUCAAGUCAAUCAAAAGCCAGAGUGAAUUGAUUCCUCUUUUCUUUUGUCCAUCACUUCUAUUUUGCAAGCAAAUGGCCUAGGAUGCUAAAUUUCAGGGUGUCCCUGAAAUACGUUGGUGUGGAGCUUUUCCUUAUGCUCUCGAGAAAUAUGACCUUUCUUUGGUAGAGUCUUCUUCUUUCAACAGCUGAAGGUAUUCUUUUGCUCAUAAAAUUGACUCAUUCCUAAUGUCUGCAUAUGUGUCUUUGGUUUGGUUCCUGAUGUUUCUGUUAGAAUUGUCUCAUUCUAUAUGUCUGUGUAUGGAUCUUUGGUUUGGUUUCCUGAAAAAGUUAACUUUUUUUGUUUAUAUUUGAUUGCAUCUUUUCAUUGUAUUAGAUUAUGUAAUUUUGUAGUUCAGACAGUUACCCUUUUGUUUGAUUGCAGAUUAGAAAAUAAUGUUAAUUGAUGGGCAACAGUUUAUCUUUAUGUUAUUUUGGUUUUAUGUGCAGUUUUUUGUUUCUAAAA